UACAGAGGUCUCAAGCGUUGUCCGGAUUUAUUGGGCGUAAAGAGCUCGUAGGCGGCUUGUCGCGUCGACUGUGGAAGCCCACGGCUUAACCGUGUGGUCUGCAGUCGAUACGGGCAGGCUCGAGUUCGGUAGGGGAGACUGGAAUUCCUGGUGUAGCGGUGAAAUGCGUAGAUAUCUGGAGGAACACCGGUGGCGAAGGCGGCAUCCUGGACCGGCAUUGACGCUGAGGCGCGAAAGCCAGGGGAGCAAACGGG
rnacentral:rRNA from 1 species